rnacentral:lncRNA from 1 species
GUGAGGGAGUCCUGGACUAGGGGGUGUCCGGACAGCCGGACUAUCAAUAUCCGCCGGACUCCCAGACUACGAAGAUAGAAGAUUGAAGACUCCGGCUCGUGUCCGGAAGGUACUUUACUUGGCGUGGAAGGCAAGCUUGGCAAUACGGAUAUGUAGAUCUCCUACCAUUGUAACCGACUCUGUGUAACCCUAGCCUCUCCGGUGUCUAUAUAAACCGGAGGGCCGUAGUCCGUAGGACACAACAUUACAUCUCAACAAUCAUACCAUAGGCUAGCUUUUAGGGUUUAGCCUCAUUGAUCUCGUGGUAGAUCUACUCUUGUACUACCCAUAUCAUCAAUAUUAAUCAAGCAGGACGUAGGGUAUUACCUCCAUCGAGAGGGCCUGAACCUGGGUAAAAACAUUGUGUCCCUCGUCUCCUGUUACCAUCCGCCUAGACGCACAGUUCGGGACCCCCUACCCGAGAUCCGUCGGUUUUGACACCGACAUUGGUGCUUUCAUUGAGAGUCAGCGCGGAGAGUCAGCACGGAAAUUCUGGAACAAGUUCCUCACCAAAAAGAACCAAAUAGUCGACUGUCCGGACGCCGAAGCCUUAGCAGCUUUCAAGCACAAUGUCCGAGACGAAUGGCUUGCCAGACACCUCGGUCAAGAAAAACCGAGGACAAUGACCGCAUUAACAAGCCUCAUGACCCGCUUUUGCGCAGGAGAGGACAGCUGGUUGGCAAGAAGCAGCACCAGCGACCCAAGUACAUCCGAGAUAAGAGAUGGAAACAGAAAAUCAUGGCGCAGAAAAGAUCAGCGCCGGAAUAAAGAGAAAAGCCCAAAGAGCACGGCAGUUAACGCCGGAUUUAAAAGCUCACGGCCGAAUAAUAAAGCUCAACCCAUCAAGGACGACAGCGACGAACUGUCUAACCUACACAAAAUCCUGGGUCGGAUCUGUCAAAUCCACAGUACCCCCGGAAGGCCUGCAAAUCACACCCACUGAGAUUGUUGGGUUUUCAAACAGUCCGGCCGAUUAAACGCCGAACGCAAGGGGCUCGACGCGUCAAGCGAAGAAGAUAAACCCCGCCAGCAGGACACCGGAAAACAAAAGACUUUCCCACAAGGGGUCAAAGCAGUAAACUCACUUCAUGUGAGGAUACGGAGAAACAGUGCGGCACUUUCUAAAAAGAGCUUCGCACGAUCCGGCCCCGCAAACCAUAGAGAUUGGAUAUCAAAACCAAUCACUUUCGACCACCGGGAUUAUUCCAAAAGUGUUCGAACCGCGGGACGGACUCCCCUGAUAUUGAAUCCGAUAAUAGACGGACUACAAUUCACAAACGUCCUAAUGGACGGAGGCAGUGACUUAAACCUGCUAUAUUCAAAUACAAUCCGUCGGAUGGGGAUAGACCCUACCAAAAUUCGACACAGCCGCACUUCCUUCAAAGGAGUUACGCCCGGCCCUUACGCCAGGUGCACAGGCUCGAUAUUACUCGAAGUCGUGUUCGGAUCACCGAACAAUCUCCGAUGAGAAAAGUUAAUUUUCCAUAUCGUGCCAUUUAAAAGUGAACAUCAAGCACUAUUAGGACGAAAGGCUUUUGUCCGCUUCAAUGCCAUACCGCAUUACGCAUCUCUUACACUUAAGAUGCCCGGUCCACACAGCACUAUUUCAGUGCGAGGGUCACUUAAAGCCCCCGGACUCGGAUAGACGAAUCCGGACUCAGCAGGCUAGGGGCUCCCUAGCCGCAUACCCUUUCACAAGGGGCUGCGCGCACAAUUAAUAUCGGUUUCAUAUAAACCUACCCUUAAUUAUUUACGCUUAUUCUUUUGCAUUAUUCUCGCACGAACUGUUUUUGAAAUGUUCCUCUCUUUUCUACAGAUGAGCAUCGUGCGUACCCGUCCAGGAUAACGGCACAACGGAGACACAGGCGCAGACAUGCAGUAGGGACCCGUCGCAAGGAUUCUUUUCAGAUUAAGACCCUACGUAGACCUUUUUAUUACUGUCUCUUGUUGCUAAAUCGGCCUCGACUUCUUCCUAUAGCCGAGGCGGAGCCUGAUGCUUUGGCAUUGGCCGCGUCAGAAGACAACGCCCGUACCUGGACACAAGGGGCUUAGGGUAUAAUUCUGCCCGUUAUCAUAAAGUCCGAACACCUCAGGGAGUGUUCGGCGUCUCAAGUUGGGCACUAUAUGCAUCAGCUCCGAAUCAUGUCUUUGGUCAAAUGUUGGGUUUGCCCGGCUCCUGUGUUUUGCUGCCUUAUGUUCCGUAUCACCCGGCUAACGCGGCACCAGGAGAACUACUGCGAUUGUGCCCCAGUUCGGCUGGGUGAGCACCUCAGUAGAGAAAGCUGAAAACUGACUGUCAUGAUAUAGCGAGAGUCUGGUCAGCCACUUGAUUGACUACGGAAUGUUUAGAAUUCCCUGCUUUGACGAAGGGCCGCUUCCCGGUCAGGCACAUACGCACCCCGAAUCCGGAGAUGUGCGGUGCCAUUAGGGGCUAUGUCGUAGCCCCACCCUCGAGCUCCAUUGGCUAAGUGAAAGAGAUAAAGCAUUAUAGUCCGGAUUGCCUCGUUCGCUACGCUACCACCUCCUUAUAACAGGACCGAGACGUCGGAUUAAAGUGUGAAAAAGCGCUAUUUUGCGAACACCCCAGCACCUUGUGCAUGGGGGCUGAAGCCGAAGACUGCAUCUUUCAGGUUAUACACAAGUAUACUUAAAACGGCCGCAAGGAGAAGUACUAUUACUUGGAAGCACAAGUAUAAAAAGCAUUCAUACUAUAAUCAUUCAUAAACAAGUUAAUGCGUUCAAUUGAACGUUACAUUCUUCGAGCACUGCGACUCUAUUACACGAGCGCCGCGCAUAACUUCCCCGAAAUAAUGUUCGGCAGGAAGCCGGUUCCCAUCCGAACCCUGGGCAGCAAUAGCGGUGGCAUCCAUCUCCGGACACUGCGCCUUUACACGGGCCAGAGCCAUCCACGCGCCCUCGAUGCAGGCCGACCGCUUCAUCUCCUUGAUAUGCGGCACCGCCCCAAGGAACUGCUGCAGUAGGCCAAAAUAGCUCGUCGCCUUGGACCUCUCUGGCCACACAUGGGCCACGAUGUCAGUCAUAGCCAGCCCGGACAGUCUAUUCAGUUCGGCCCAUUCGGCCAACCUGUCCGACAGCGGAAGAGGGCGAUCCGGACUGUGGAAUUGAGUCCAAUAUAGCUCUUCCACCUCGUGAUCCCCCUGGCUCCGAAAGUGCUUAACGGCGUCAGCCGCACUCGCAGCCAAGUCCAUGUAAGGAUCCUCUGAACUCCACUGCUUUUCAAAUUGGGCAUACUUGGCAUCCAUAAACCGGCGACGCAUAAGAAACGGCCUGCCAGCCGUGAUUUCUCCGGCUUGGCGCAGCUCCUCCUUCAUAGCCCGCAUUGCAGAGCGGGCAUCCUUGGUCUCGGCGGUGGCCUUCUUCAGGUCUUCCCGCUCCAAUAGGCGCUCCUUUUCAAGAGCCUCGCUACGGUCGGUAGCAUCCUUUAAUUUCUUGGCCAAUCCGGCCACCUCCGCCCUGCUUAGGCAGUGCGCAGCCUUUUCGGCCUUCAACUCCUCGGCCGCCCUCGCGGCAGCCGCAUCACUCCUUCGGGCUUAUCAGAGGAGGGCUUUAACCCACUCGAUAAAACAGCUAUGGAGAUUUUGUUUACCUUGCGACUCGUCAAGUCGCUGAUUGACAAGUGCUAUGUCAGCAUCUGCCAUGUCCAGUUGCCGACUCAGUUCGGCAAACUGACCAGUCCGGCUGGCCCCCGGACUAUCCGCCACCUGUAUUAGAACGGCGAUAUUUAUUACCUGAGAUAUUUAGAUUUUCGAUCCUCGGCACGCUGUCGUCUUCGACAACCUACCGAGUCUCAGGGGCUACUAUCUAUACAGGGCGCAUCUUUUAUAUGCUCAACUGUUAAAAAGCAAAGGGGUACGCUAUUUUCGCAUACCUCAAAUCCCGCCAGCAAGCUCAUGGCAGCAUCGCGCAAUCCGCUUUCGGCGGACGAAAUCCUUCCAACCACCGCACGCAUUAACGCGCGGUGAUCUUCUGAAAUGGACGCCCUCUCAAGCAAAUUCUUCAGUUCUCCCGACUGGGCUCUGGUGGGUGUUGAACUCUUCGACCCCUCCGGACUCGGGGACGCCCUCCGUGAUGACACUUCGGGCUCGCCUGCCUCAUAUGGCGGCGCGUCGGACAGAGGCGUAUCGCUCUCCAUCAUCUCCGGAAGAAGAUCCCCCGAGGACGAACUCAUCUGAGACGGCUGCAGAUCCGAACUGCGAUAUAAAUAUUUCGGUUACCUGCAGAAGCAUAAAACGAAGGUACUUUCUUAUUAAACUUCCUCUUUCAUACUCAUGGCUCGUUGGAGGGCUGGUCCUUGGGCAAUGAUUGCGCGUCCGGAUUCUCUCCGGACGCCGGACCCCCCGGUGAGGAUUUCUUCCCACGCUUGGGGGCUUUGACCUCCGGAUCUUCGGGGGCGGUCCUCUUUUCCCUCUGAAGGGAGGGAUCCUUGGUCCUCUCCUCUUCAGUCGCCUCUUUGGACGAAGUAUCUGCUCCUUUAUCUCCCCCAUCGCCCCCUUCUGUGGGUGCGGCCUCCAACAUUCUGACCAGCACGGGCUCCAGUGCAGUCUCUGGGAGGGGGGCCGGACACCUUAUCAGCCUUGAUCGCGCCACCCAUUCCUGUAAAGAAUAAAAAGGGUUAGGAGAUGAUCUUUUGAAAGGCAUACAAGCAGGAUGUCCGGGCUCUGAGCUAUUUACCUGAGUAUCCGGACGAUCGCGGCUUAGUCCCGCAUCCUCGGCCGAAUCCGGACACGCCACUUGCGGUCCGAAGAACAGCUCGUACAUCUCCAGGGGUGUCGCCCCCAUGAAAUGCUGGAGGAUACGAGGUCCCUCCGGAUUGAACUCCCAUAAACGGAGAGCAACGUUUGCAGGGUAGGAGGUGCCUAGUCAGCAUAACCUGCAUCACCUUGACCAGAUCAAUCUCCCUUGUUUGGAGGUCCCGAAUCCGGCCCUGCAGUGCGGGCACGUCCUUGGACGGCCCCCAGUUGAGCCCUUGGUUGACCCACGCCAUCAGUUGCUGUGGAGGUCCCGGGAGGAAGGAGGGCGGCGGCUUUUGCUUGCUGCCCCUUGGAGCGGUGAUGUAAAACCACUCCUGCUGCCACAAUCCCUGUUCCUCUUGGAAGGAACCUUCGAGCCACGGGGCAUCGACCAUCUUGCUUAUGGUCGCCCCGCCACACUCCGCUCGACGCCCCCGAUCAUCUUCGGCUCCACCUUGAAUGUUUUCAGCCACAGGCCGAAGUGGGGGGUGACACGGAGGAAGGCUUCGCAGACAAUAAUGAAUGCGGAGAUAUGGAGGAUGGACUCCGGAGCCAAGUCGUGGAAGUCCAGCCCGUAGAAGAACAUAAGCCCCCUCACGAAAGGAUCCGUCGGGAAGCCUAAUCCCCGACAGAGGUGGGAUGCGAAAAUGACACAUUCGCCGGGCUCGGGGGCUGGCACGGCCUGCCCAGGGGCAGGCAACCUGUGCGAGACUUCGUAGGCCAGGUACUUGGCCUCACGCAACUUCAAUAUGUCCUCCUCUGUGACGGAGGAGGGCACCCACCGGCCCUGGAGGUCGGAGCCGGACAUUGCUGUGGAUCCGAAGCGCUCGAGUCUGAAGCUCUCGGUGUUGGAAUUGGGAGCAGAAGAGAGAUUCGAUGCGAGGUUAAGAGACAAGGACAGGCCUUGGUCCUCUUAUAAAGGGGAAAUAAUACCAAGGGCCGUCUCCGUGACCGUUUGAGAUUUCCCUUCGGUAGAGGAGGCGUGGCGACGGGAGCGGUUGGGUUACCCACGCACGUAUUGAUGAGAAUCCCGAAAAGAGGGGAACACGAUCUCUGCUUCGACAGGACGUGCCAAGGAAGCCGCUUCGCUAAACAUGCUAAGGUGGAAUAGUAAAAACAAUUAAAACGAAGGCUUGGCUGCGGUGUGAUGUCAUGCCACAUAAUACGUCAGCAGAUUGGAUCGGUGUAUGUGUUUUAUUCUCUCUACGUUGGAGUGUGGAAAUUAUUUUGCAGAGCCGGACACUAUCCUGGUGUUCAAUCUUCUCUGGAUUAUUCAAGGGAGGAACCCGCCUUGCAAUGCCGAACAUUAUGCACGCCGGACUUAUUGUCAUUGAAGACUGGUUCAGGGGCUACUGAGGGAGUCCUGGACUAGGGGGUGUCCGGACAGCCGGACUAUCAAUAUCCGCCGGACUCCCAGACUACGAAGAUAUAAGAUUGAAGACUUCGGCUCAUGUCCGGAAGGUACUUUGCUUGGCGUGGAAGGCAAGCUUGGCAAUACGGAUAUGUAGAUCUCCUACCAUUGUAACCGACUCUGUGUAACCCUAGCCUCUCCGGUGUCUAUAUAAACCGGAGGGCCGUAGUCCAUAGGACACAACAUUACAUCUCAACAAUCAUACCAUAGGCUAGCUUUUAGGGUUUAGCCUCAUUGAUCUCGUGGUAGAUCUACUCUUGUACUACCCAUAUCAUCAAUAUUAAUCAAGCAGGACGUAGGGUAUUACCUCCAUCGAGAGGGCCUGAACCUGGGUAAAAACAUUGUGUCCCUCGUCUCCUGUUACCAUCCG